rnacentral:rRNA from 1 species
AGUCAUAUGCUUGUCUCAAAGAUUAAGCCAUGCAUGUCUCAGUACAAGCCAACUUUAGGUGAAACCGCGAAAGGCUCAUUAAAUCAGUUAUGGUUCCUUAGAUCGUACCCACAUUUACUUGGAUAACUGUGGUAAUUCUAGAGCUAAUACAUGCAAACAGAGCUCCGACCGGAGACGGAAGGAGCGCUUUUAUUAGAUCAAAACCAAUCGGCGGCGGGUUCGCUCGUCGUCGUACAACCUGGUGAAUCUGAAUAACUUUCUGCUGAUCGCAUGGUCUAGCACCGGCGACGCAUCUUUCAAAUGUCUGCCUUAUCAACUGUCGAUGGUAGGUUCUGCGCCUACCAUGGUUGUAACGGGUAACGGGGAAUCAGGGUUCGAUUCCGGAGAGGGAGCCUGAGAAACGGCUACCACAUCCAAGGAAGGCAGCAGGCGCGCAAAUUACCCACUCCCGGCACGGGGAGGUAGUGACGAAAAAUAACGAUACGGGACUCAUCCGAGGCCCCGUAAUCGGAAUGAGUACACUCUAAACCCUUUAACGAGGAUCAAUUGGAGGGCAAGUCUGGUGCCAGCAGCCGCGGUAAUUCCAGCUCCAAUAGCGUAU